GGAACUAAUAAAAACAAAAUGGAAGGUCAGCUGAAAAGUAGAAUUUCACGAACACCAUCUCAAUACGUCCGAUCAGCCAUUGAUGUGUCUAUCAAAACUCAAGUAGCUGGAGAACCAUCACUGGAGAGACCCCAAUUUCUGAUCCUUCUUCUAUUGGGAGUGUGUGUUUUUCCACCUCAAACAAGAGAAGAAGAAAAAAACACCAAGAGCAAAUUUAUGAGCCGUCGGAAUCGUUCAGCAACUCUCGUCUGUUGUAUCUCCUGCACCUCGCCACACCUACCAGCUUAGCUUGGAGAUGUGCAGCUCGAUUAGCAACUUCAAAUGAAACCACUGUUACCAUCAAGAUUGACAGAUGAAACGUGAAUGCACGCUAAGUAUUUAGACAAGAACAAAUUCUACCAGUAACUCAUGUGUCUUGGCAGCAUACCAUUUCAACACCUCAAGCUCUCACCAGGUGCAUGAUAUACUUACCAAUCGAACAUAUUUCAGACAUCAUAAGCAUAAUGGUAACUAUUCUCUUGUUCGAAUACAUUGUGCUCAUUAUUACUCGAACUACAUUGGCAAAAUAUGAUGAUACGCUAGACUUCCCUGCUUGUCUAAUUCCGAUCCUGCUUUUCUAACUGGAAAUGAGAUUGAUAGACCUUAUGUUGAACCUUCGUGCAGUGAAUUGUAUUUUAUUGAACCUACCAAUAAAAGUUGUAUAGAUUCAAUUCAUUUGUCUUCUUCUUAUGUGAGGAGUUCCGCUUUUAUCCAAGUUUAGGAUUCUUUGUCCUUCCAUAGGAAUGUCUUGAAAAUGGCUAAAGUGAUAAUCACCUGCAAAA